rnacentral:rRNA from 1 species
CGGAAAUGGCUACCACAUCCAAGGAUGGCAGCAGGCGCGCAAAUUACCCACUCCCAGCUUGGGGAGGUAGUGACGAAAAAUAACAAUGCGGGACUCUAAGAGGCCCCGUAAUUGGAAUGAGUACACCUUAAAUCGUUUAACGAGUAUCAAUUGGAGGGCAAGUCUGGUGCCAGCAGCCGCGGUAAUUCCAGCUCCAAUAGCGUAUAUUAAAGUUGCUGCAGUUAAAAAGCUCGUAGUUGGAUCUGGGGCUUGAGGUCGCUGUCUAUCGUUUCGGCGAUGACGGUGAUGCUCAGCUCUGCUUGCCGGUGACUGUUGCGGUGUUCUUCACUGAGCGCUGUAGCAGCACGGCACGUUUACUUUGAAAAAAUUAGAGUGCUCAAAGCGUGCUUGUCGCUUGAAUAAUGUUGCAUGGAAUAAUGGAAUAGGACCUCGGUUCUAUUUUGUUGGUUUUCGGAGCUUGAGGUAAUGAUUAAGAGGGACGAACGGGGGCAUUCGUAUUGCGGUGUUAGAGGUGAAAUUCUUGGAUCGCCGCAAGACGGACUACUGCGAAAGCAUUUGCCAAGAACGCUUUCAUUAAUUAAGAACGAAAGUCAGAGGUUCGAAGACGAUCAGACACCGUCCUAGUUCUGACCAUAAACGAUGCCGACCAGCGAUCCGUAGUGGUUGCUUUAUGGACCCUACGGGCAGCCUCCGGGAAACCAAAGUAUUUGGGUUCCGGGGGAAGUAUGGUUGCAAAGCUGAAACUUAAAGGAAUUGACGGAAGGGCACACCAGGAGUGGAGCCUGCGGCUUAAUUUGACCCAACACGGGAAAACUCACCCGGUCCGGACACCGUAAGGAUUGACAGACUGAUAGCUCUUUCUUGAUUCGGUGGAUGGUGGUGCAUGGCCGUUCUUAGUUGGUGGAGUGAUUUGUCUGGUUAAUUCCGAUAACGAACGAGACUCUAGCCUGCUAAGUAGUGUUGCUAUUGUUAUAUGGUUGACACUUCUUAGAGGGACAAGUGGCAUUUAGCCACGCGAAAUUGAGCAAUAACAGGUCUGUGAUGCCCUUAGAUGUCCGGGGCCGCACGCGCGCUACACUGGAGAAGUCAGCGUGUGUUAUCCAAGUCCGAAAGGACUGGGUAAUCCGUUGAACCUUCUUCGUGCUUGGGACUGUGGCUUGGAACUAUUCCACAUGAACGAGGAAUUCCUAGUAAUUGCAAGUCAUAAGCUUGCGUUGAUUACGUCCCUGCCCUUUGUACACACCGCCCGUCGCUACUACCGAUUGAAUGGUUUAGCAAGGUCCUCGGAUCGUGGCCGUAGGGGCACGCAAGUGUUUCUGCGGUUUGCGAGAAGACGACCAAACUUGAUCAUUUAGAGGAAGUAAAAGUCGUAACAAGGUU